GAUGAACGCUGGCGGCGUGCUUAACACAUGCAAGUCGAACGGUGAAGCAGAGCUUGCUCUGUGGCUCAGUGGCGAACGGGUGAGUAACACGUGAGCAACCUGCCCCUGACUCUGGGAUAAGCGCUGGAAACGGCGUCUAAUACUGGAUAUGAGCUGCGACCGCAUGGUCAGCAGUUGGAAAGAUUUUUCGGUCUGGGAUGGGCUCACGGCCUAUCAGCUUGUUGGUGAGGUAAUGGCGCACAAAGGCGUCCACGGGUAGCCGGCCUGGGAGGGUGACCGGGCACACUGUGCCUGAGACACGGCCCGUACGGAUACGGGGGGAAGGAGUGGAAAAUAUUCCACACAGGGCGACAGCAUGGUAGAGGGACUCCGCGUGAGGGAUGACUGCCUUCGGGGUGUAACCCUCUUUUAGCAGGGAAGAAGCGAAAGUGACGGUACCUGCAGAGAAAGCGACGGCUAACUACGUG
rnacentral:rRNA from 1 species